UUAUUCGGAUAAUCGCGGUUUACAAAAAAACGUAGACUGAGGAAAGUCCAUGCUCGCACAAGCUGCGAUGCUUGUAGUGUUCGUGCUAGCUGAAAAAAUAAGGCUAGGUAUCUUUAAAGUCUAAUUGUCAUCUCCUAAGAGCCUGUUAACGAUCUCUCUAUUGAUGAAUUUUUUGAGAAAUUUUUGUGCAUUUUUAGGAAAAAAACGUAGGUUUAGCGGUGCUAAAUCGAGGCUUUUUGACAAAGAAAGGCACAAAAAUUUCUCAAAAAAUUCAUCAAUAGAGAGAUCGUUAACAGGUUCUAAGUGAUUAAAAAAAGAUUUUUAGAUAACGGCAGGAAAACAAUACUAAGGUUUUUAAACUAUGUAUCAGUAUCCUUGAAAGUGCCACAGUGACGAAGCAUUUAAAGAAA
rnacentral:RNase_P_RNA from 1 species